AACGCAAAUUGCACUCUCCGGUUUUCCGGGAGAGUAUGCCUGUUUGAGGGUCUGUUUAAAAAACAAUCGAGGCUGCUGCUGUGUGGUGGCGCCUCGGAAUUGGGUCAUCUUCCACCUUUCGGGGUUGUAAGCGACUUAAAAAUUUUUUACGAUUUCGAUGAGCGUGUUUAAGGAUACUCCUAUACGUUCAUGAUAUCGAAAUUUCCCUAUUAGGGGUGACCGCCGCGUCGGUUUCACUCCUAUAAUCAUCAUCAAAGGACCUCAGACAGGUAAGAUUACCCGCUGAACUUAA
rnacentral:misc_RNA from 1 species